ACGGGUGAGUAACACGUGGAUAACCUACCUAUAAGACUGGGAUAACUUCGGGAAACCGGAGCUAAUACCGGAUAACAUAUUGAACCGCAUGGUUCAAUAGUGAAAGGCGGCUUUGCUGUCACUUAUAGAUGGAUCCGCGCCGUAUUAGCUAGUUGGUAAGGUAACGGCUUACCAAGGCAACGAUACGUAGCCGACCUGAGAGGGUGAUCGGCCACACUGGAACUGAGACACGGUCCAGACUCCUACGGGAGGCAGCAGUAGGGAAUCUUCCGCAAUGGGCGAAAGCCUGACGGAGCAACGCCGCGUGAGUGAUGAAGGUCUUCGGAUCGUAAAACCCUGUUAUCAGGGAAGAACAAAUGUGUAAGUAACUGUGCACAUCUUGACGGUACCUGAUCAGAAAGCCACGGCUAACUACGUGCUAGCAGCCGCGGUAAUACGUAGGUGGCAAGCGUUAUCCGGAAUUAUUGGGCGUAAAGCGCGCGUAGGCGGUUUUUUAAGUCUGAUGUGAAAGCCCACGGCUCAACCGUGGAGGGUCAUUGGAAACUGGAAGACUUGAGUGCAGAAGAGGAAAGUGGAAUU
rnacentral:rRNA from 1 species